GGAAAGUAGUAGUGCAGUGGUAGGGCAUCUGCUUUGCAUAUAGAAGGUCCCAGCUUCAACCCCUGGCCUCUCCA